rnacentral:rRNA from 1 species
AUUGAACGCUGGCGGCAGGCCUAACACAUGCAAGUCGAGCGGAUGAAGGGAGCUUGCUCCUGGAUUCAGCGGCGGACGGGUGAGUAAUGCCCAGGAAUCUGCCUGGUAGUGGGGGAUAACGUCCGGAAACGGGCGCUAAUACCGCAUACGUCCUGAGGGAGAAAGUGGGGGAUCUUCGGACCUCACGCUAUCAGAUGAGCCUAGGUCGGAUUAGCUAGUUGGUGGGGUAAAGGCCUACCAAGGCGACGAUCCGUAACUGGUCUGAGAGGAUGAUCAGUCACACUGGAACUGAGACACGGUCCAGACUCCUACGGGAGGCAGCAGUGGGGAAUAUUGGGCAAUGGGCGAAAGCCUGAUCCAGCCAUGCCGCGUGUGUGAAGAAGGUCUUCGGAUUGUAAAGCACUUUAAGUUGGGAGGAAGGGCAGUAAGUUGAUACCUUGCUGUUUUGACGUUACCAACAGAAUAAGCACCGGCUAACUUCGUG